rnacentral:rRNA from 1 species
UGGCUCACCAAGGCGACGACGGGUAGCCGGCCUGAGAGGGCGACCGGCCACACUGGGACUGAGACACGGCCCAGACUCCUACGGGAGGCAGCAGUGGGGAAUAUUGCACAAUGGGCGAAAGCCUGAUGCAGCGACGCCGCGUGCGGGAUGAAGGCCUUCGGGUUGUAAACCGCUUUCAGCAGGGAAGAAGCGAAAGUGACGGUACCUGCAGAAGAAGCACCGGCUAACUACGUGCCAGCAGCCGCGG